rnacentral:lncRNA from 1 species
CAAUGUUGACUCAAUUACAAAGUUAUUAAAUCUGACCCGGGCCUUGACCCAAACAAGACAUCGGGUUAGUAGAUCAGCGAUCCAACCAUCAGAUCAACGGUUGAACCGGCGGGUCAAUGCACAAACAGAAGAGGAGGAGGCAGAGGAAGGAGGGGGCCAACCAGAGAUGAAGGAGGUGAAGGGAGGAGAUCCCAUAUGGAGGACG